rnacentral:tRNA from 1 species
UCCCAGGUAGCUCAGAGGUUAAAGCAUCUGCCUGCAAUGCAGGAGGCCUGGGUUCGAUCCCUGGUUCAAGAA